rnacentral:rRNA from 1 species
UGGGGAAUCUUGGACAAUGGGGGCAACCCUGAUCCAGCCAUGCCGCGUGAGUGAUGAAGGCCUUAGGGUCGUAAAGCUCUUUCGCCUGUGAAGAUAAUGACGGUACCUAGUAAAGAAGUCCCGGCUAACUCCGUGCCAGCAGCCGCGGUAAUACGGAGGGGACUAGCGUUGUUCGGAAUUACUGGGCGUAAAGAGUUCGUAGGCGGACUAGCAAGUUAGAGGUGAAAUCCCAGGGCUCAACCUUGGAACUGCCUUUAAAACUGCUAGUCUAGAGACCGGAAGAGGUUAGGGGAAUACCUAGUGUAGAGGUGAAAUUCGUAGAUAUUUGGAGGAACACCAGUGGCGAAGGCGGCUCACUGGCUCGAUACUGACGCUGAGGUGCGAAAGUGUGGGGAGCAAACAGGAUUAGAUACCCUGGUAGUCCACGCCGUAAACGAUGAGUGCUAGAUGUUGGGAUUUUCGGAUUUCAGUGUCGCAGCUAACGCAUUAAGCACUCCGCCU